GAUGAACGCUGGCGGCGUGCCUAAUACAUGCAAGUCGAGCGAACAGACGAGGAGCUUGCUCCUCUGACGUUAGCGGCGGACGGGUGAGUAACACGUGGAUAACCUACCUAUAAGACUGGGAUAACUUCGGGAAACCGGAGCUAAUACCGGAUCAUAUAUUGAACCGCAUGGUUCAAUAGUGAAAGACGGUUUUGCUGUCACUUAUAGAUGGAUCCGCGCCGCAUUAGCUAGUUGGUAAGGUAACGGCUUACCAAGGCAACGAUGCGUAGCCGACCUGAGGGGUUGAUCGGCCACACUGGAACUGGGACACGGUCCAGACUCCUACGGGAGGCAGCAGUAGGGAAUCUUCCGCAAUGGGCGAAAGCCUAACGGAGCAACGCCGCGUGAGUGAUGAAGUUCUUCGGAUCGUAAAACUCUGUGAUUAGGGAAGAACAAAUGUGUAAGUAACUAUGCACGUCUUGACGGUACCUAAUCAGAAAGCCACGGCUAACUACGUG
rnacentral:rRNA from 1 species